rnacentral:rRNA from 1 species
UGAUACGUAGGGUCCGAGCGUUGUCCGGAAUUAUUGGGCGUAAAGGGCUUGUAGGCGGUCUGUCACGUCGGAAGUGAAAACUCAGGGCUUAACCCUGAGCCUGCUUCCGAUACGGGCAGACUAGAGGGAUGCAGGGGAGAACGGAAUUCCUGGUGGAGCGGUGGAAUGCGCAGAUAUCAGGAGGAACACCGGUGGCGAAGGCGGUUCUCUGGGCAUUUCCUGACGCUGAGAAGCGAAAGCGUGGGGAGCAAACAGGCUUAGAUACCCUGGUAGUCCACGCCGUAAACGGUGGGCACUAGGUGUGGGGAACAUUCCACGUUCUCCGUGCCGCAGCUAACGCAUUAAGCAUUCCGCCUGGGGAGUACGGUCGCAAGGCUG